UUAAUUUGUCUAAGCGGAUGCAGCUUCAUGUAGCUGGCUGUACGAGAGCUUUCCACAAUUUGACGCGAUGUUGUUAAAUCACAAGUUUGCAGUUUCAGCAGUGAUUACAAUAAGCUGAACAUUUAUUGUUUAGGGAUGUCACAAUUUCCUGAGACGGAGGCAUCUCUGCACCACAUAGGAGUCUGCGGCACUAUGCAGCCUGAACAGCACGACAAAGCACCUGAUCUGCCUGCUUUGACAAGGUGUGGCUGGGCCUGCAGAAAGAGUGUAAGCAGACUACUGUGUUGCUGAUCAGUGCUGAUCUCUACGUCUGAGUUGGCCCCACAACAUCCAGGCACCACUGUGCUUUGCUUCAUUGACAAGGUGUGGCUGGGCCUGCAGAAAAGCUGUAAGCACACUGCAGUGUUGCUGAUCAGUGCUGAUCUCCACGUCCGAGUUGAUCCCACAGCAUCCAGGCACCACUGUG
rnacentral:lncRNA from 1 species